CCGGGACUUAUAUUGCUUAAGGUGGGUUUAAUGGAUUGUCGAAGAUGGACCUUGACCCGUUACCUAUAGAGAGGUAGGAACCAAAGGUAUAAAAAGGUGGAUGAAUGCCACACCAGGAUGGUGAUAAGUUCAAGAAGUCGGGUUGACGCCACUAGCGAGCUAGAUAAGUCAGAACGAGACUCGUACGAAAUAGGAUAGG
rnacentral:lncRNA from 1 species